AUGCCAGCAUUAAGAUUUAAAACGUGUCGUCUACUUCCAGGAAAUGUUCGGAACAGAGAACUUUCUCUAAUCCAACGCCGUAUUCUCCGAAGAUUGAGGAACAAGAGGAGAUCCAUUAAAAGAAAUCUUUCUCGGAGAGAAAAUCUAAACAGUAACAUCAAAUCACAAACUACACGAAAGUUGUCUCUUUAUUAUGGGGAUUUACCCAUAAGGGAGAUGCACAGAGGAAGAGAACGAACUUCAUAUAUCCCUUUUUUACUCAAUCAAGAAACAAGAUCAAACGUGAUUCCGGUUCGUCUCCAUUUUAGUGACACUCUUCCUCAAGCAAGGCAGCCGAUAAGUCAUCGAAGGGUUUGUUUGAAUAAUGGAUUGGUAACCAUUACUCAUUUGAAAGUUUCCCACGGUGAUCUAAUAUCUUUUAAAGAAAAUGACGCGAGAACCCGCGGUUUUGAAAUAAGGAGAUCUUUCUAUAUCGACAUAUCAGUUGGAAAAAUCAUAGGCAAAUUCCUAUCGGCCAUAUCGGUUGGAAAAAGAAGAGGCAAA
rnacentral:rRNA from 1 species